rnacentral:rRNA from 1 species
UACGGAGGGUGCAAGCGUUAUCCGGAUUCACUGGGUUUAAAGGGUGCGUAGGCGGGCAGGUAAGUCCGUGGUGAAAUCUCUGAGCUUAACUCAGAAACUGCCAUGGAUACUAUUUGUCUUGAAUGUUGUGGAGGUAAGCGGAAUAUGUCAUGUAGCGGUGAAAUGCUUAGAUAUGACAUAGAACACCAAUUGCGAAGGCAGCU